GGUAUAGCUCAGUUGGUAGAGCACCUGGUUGUGGUCCAGGAUGUCGCGGGUUCAAAUCCCGUUAC
rnacentral:tRNA from 1 species